UGUCACCUUCCAGAGCGCCCGCGGCCGAGCCUGCUGCGCAGUCUGAUGACGUAUUUCCUGUUGGCCGAGCCGCGCGUACAGCUCAUCUAUCGCUCCCAGCUCCACGCAGGUCAACACAAGCUUGGCAGGGUCUCAGUAUGUAGUCCAGACUGGCUUCGAGCUUGCAGCAAUCCACCUGUCUCACCAUCCCAAGUGCUGGGAUAACAGUUAGGAAGCCACAACUUGAAUAGGAUAAGUUCAUCAUUGGCCCUCUCAUCCAGGACAUAGGUGUACACCACUGAAGCUUGGCCUUUACUUCUGAUUGAUCAGGAAGCUGUGAGUGAGCCAGACACCUGAACUAUUUCUCUAGGAAUAUAUGCAAUGAAGGUGUGUGAAAAUCAGAUAUGAGCAAAUGGCUUUAAGGAAGUGAGGGUGACUUUAUAAGGAGCUAAUGCAGAAGAAGUCUCUUUGGAAAAAGAAACUGGCGCCUGGGACGCUUUAUGCACUGGAAGGCCAUGAACCUCAGCAUAUCUCAAGGACUUCAAGGAGAGAGGAAUUCACCCAAAUGUACAGGUUCAGAAGCAAGUGAGGUGUCUCACUAACUGUAUGUUGGUGCCAGAAAUAGCAGAGACCAAAGAGGAAUGUUUUCUUCACCCAUAGGAAGGUUCAUGGCUGAAAUGCCUAUAAAAAAAAGACAAAUUCACAAGAGAAAAGCGUAAAAAAUAUAAUCAACAUAAGUUUGAAGUAAUGUGGGAGCCUUCAGAAAUGAAGACCUAGAGCUGGGGAUUUAGCUCAGUGGUUGCCCCACCUGCUCUGUGAGCACAAAGACCCAAGUUUGAUCUCCGGCAUCAAAAAAAAAAGAAAAGAAAUGAAGACCUAAAGACCUGGGGACAACUGUAUUUGUUUUUUUUUUUUGUACCAGAGAUCAAACUCGGGUCCUUUCACUUGCAAGGCAGGUGGCGGAACCACUGAGCUAAAUCCCCGGCCCUGAAUUUUUAUGAACAGUCAAGAAGUGUAACAGGUUAUGUUCUAAUGGUAAUAAACAAGGGGGAACUUAGCUGGGCCUGUUUGUUCAGGUUCUUAUUGAUCUCUGGGUAUAGAGCAGGAUCUCUCAGAGAUUAGUUUUAGGAGCCAGUUUCAGGAGCAGGAGGUCAGAAGGUUGUUUUAUGACUUGCUUCAAGGGAGAAGAGUAGGAGCAAGUGAGAGUGAC
ensembl:lncRNA